UAUUCUUUUGAAGAAGCUUUACAUUUGGCAUAUAUUGAAUCUCUUGAAGAUUUCAGGUUUUAAUACAUUGUUUCCGUUUUCUAAACAGAUUUUGUUAAUUUUCCUACAAAAAAUGGAUUUGCUACUAACCAAAACCCCUCCUGAUGAGAUAAAGAACAGUGUUCUACCCAUGGUUUACAGAGCACUAGAAGCUCCUUCCAUUCAGAUCCAGGAGCUCUGUCUAAACAUCAUUCCAACCUUUGCAAAUCUUAUAGACUACCCAUCCAUGAAAAACGCUUUGAUACCAAGAAUUAAAAAUGCUUGUCUACAAACAUCUUCCCUUGCGGUAAGUAACUGCAUAUUAAUUUUUGUUUUUCUUUCACUUGUCAGUGCUUUAAAUCAUUUUCUUAUUGUUUAAUAACCCUUUUAUAGAUUGUUGAUGUAUUUCAUCUUGGCUGUAGAUAACUUGUAUAUAGUACUAUAAAAAUAAGCUGUAGUUUUCUUUGAUACAUAAUUUAUAAUAUUGCAUUCCUAACCUUACUU
rnacentral:sRNA from 1 species